AAAGUGUUCCGGUAAACACUAAUGUGCUCUGAUUCGUUAAAUUUUGGUUACCGGAACACUUUAUUUUUUGUUACCGGAACACUUUGAUUGUGUUAUAUUAUUACAAUACAUGUAUAAGUCUAAAAAAACUCCUAACAACAAAUGAAGUAGCAAGGAAAGUCUUGUCUAGUUGUCAAAAACAAAUUGUCAACCCAAGUAACAGCAAUUUAAACACCUAAUAUGUAUUACUAGGGUCAACCUAUGACACUGCAUCUAACAUUCUAUUUCCACCAAAAUUCAAAGAC
rnacentral:lncRNA from 1 species